ensembl:snRNA U4 U4 spliceosomal RNA
AGCUUUGCACAGUGGCAGUAUCAUAGCCAAUGAGGUUUAUCCGAGGAGUGAUUAUUGCUAAUUGAAAACUUUUCCCAAUACCCCACUGUGAUGACUUGCAAUAUCAUUGGCACUGGCAGUUUCUGAUGAUUCUCUACAGAG